GAUUUAGUCUCUUGAAGCAAAGUUCUGUGACACUCAGACUCUGAUUAUGAUAGAAGUCAGUGCACUACAGAACUUUGUCUCUGGGGGCUGU
rnacentral:pre_miRNA from 1 species